CUGGAAUAGAGAUCAGAACAGAAAUCUAAAUCAACCUCAACCAGCCAAGGUCUAAAAUCACAACCUAAGUCUAUACAACCAGACCAUAAGAAAAGGGCAUCGCUGAGAUCCCUCACUCCAGCUGCAACAUUCUGGUUGUAUUGCAAUUCAUACAUCACUUACCCAAGAGCCUGACACAAAGCAUGCCCUCAAGAUGGGUAGAGGACCACAGAGAUGGAAGCCAAGGUGUUCACCUGGGGGUGAUAAAUGGUCAACUGGUACAAAAGAGCUGGCCAGGACCUCGGGAGGAAGACUCCCCUGUGAAAGGGC